GCUACAGACAAGCUGCUGGGACAGGCUGCAGGAAUGCAUGUAGCAGUCACUCCCUAGGAAGAGGGAGGAGUGUUUGGGGGCCCUAGGGAGAGUCUGCAGUCCUCCCUUGGAUGGAGGGUUCUUGCGACUGGCACACCCAGAGGGAGAAGGGGAACUACAGUGUGGGAAGCAGUCCGGGGAAGGGGCAGAGAGAGGAAGCCCAGAACUGUGGCACUGAGGGUCCCUGGACUGGAACCUGGAGGACAGAGGAGGCCUGAGUUCCCUUACUAGCCACCAAGGAACUGAGGCAGUGAAUAGGAGGACUGCUGAGGGACUGUACCUCAGAAGGGGGAACGCUGAGCAGAGUGGAGUACCCCAGAGGGUUAAGUCACAAAGGAGAUGCUGAGGGUCCUGGAGUGAGCAAGGAGCUGCAGCCCUGAGAGGGAGUGUAACAGUGUGCAAACUGUGGAAGGGGAAUCUACCUCAAGAGCUAAUCCCCAGAGCGACCAAGAGCAGGCGCCAGACCAGCGGCAGGGGACCUGACAGAUUCUGCUAGUUAAAAGGAGAGAACACCCCCACCAUCAGUCACCUCCCAGUAAACCAGUCCAUCUGCUACAGCAUGGCAAUCCCCUUCAGACAGAUCUCCUUCGCCCACAACACACUUCCUCCCUCUCCCUCCUUUGCAUGCCACACAGAGAUCCAGCUAAGACAUCCUAUGGUGAAGUGACUCGCCCAAAGCAACAUAGCUGAGUGAGGAACAGAACCAAGAAUUGAACCCAGGAGUCCUGCUCUAACUAAGAAAAAACCCUGACACUUAAGGUGCUGCAGGGACUCAUCUUACUACACCUGGAUACCAGGAUGAGAGCUAUCAAGGUAAAUUAUGAGAUGACCCCAAAAUAAAAAGUAGGCCCCAAGGUUUGGUUUCCACCAAGAGAAAAAAGGAAACAUGACAACCUGCCCUUUUGCAAAUUGCAUCUCUAAGCAGAAACAUCAGAAGCGGGGAACCUUGGUACACAAGAGAGGGCUCACAACUAGUAUCAAGAGGAUUGACAAACAACUGUCUGUGUCUGAGCAGCCAUGUGGAAGGCAGUCUAACCCACGGAUGCUGUGUGGCGGGGGAGACAAGACUUUGAAAAGCAGAAACUAUUUUCCUUUCAACCAGCAAUUGAAAGCCCUUGGUGCCUAUUGGAGCUGGAUGUGGCGCAUUUCUGGAGCAGAAAAAAACCCUCACAAAACCAAAAUGUAAGAAAAACAAGCACAGAAAACCCCAGUGAAAUCUCAGGUGAGAGAAGUUUGGGAAGUUGCCUAUCACUGCCAGUCACUGGCAAAUGACCACAGGUGACAUCACCACGGUUCCAGGCACUCCAGUAAACAGGAAACAAAGGUACUUUGUGCCUCUGGUCAUAGUAAAGCUGGCUGAUUAUUUAGCCCAUACAUUGCACCUGCCUAGACCUCGGAUAAGCCACUUGCCAGCUUCAUUGCUGGUGGCACCGGUUUGAGGACUGAGAUAGCAGGAAGUGCUUCAGGUCAGGAGUCAGGUACACUGGCAAAGCUGUGCAUGGCGAGCUCAAAGACUGCAGUAACCGGGGAGCUGACUGAAGUGCAUUGGAUGAACUGUUUAUGGGAUCACAAUUUGCUGCUGCAAGAUAGGAGAGAAAAGUAUUGCCAGGGAUAUGUAAAGGCCCCAGCUGGAAUAGCAGAAGUGUUGAGCAUCAGGUAAGACAGAGCAAAUCCCACACUUCAUCCAGUGCAUAAGUCCUGCACUAAGCAAACAAGUCGUGCUUUUUAUUCCCUUCACCCCCAACUUGCAUGGUCUGCCAUCACCACCAGUAGCAUGAUCUCAGCUGAGUCUAUGCAGCUGCAAUUUCAAGCAGCAGAUUAUUUAAAAAGAAGAAAGUGAAUGCCAUACCUGUGAAAUGCAGCCUUGGCUGUAAUAAACGCUGAAGUUGACUAUUCCUGGAGGGACUUGCUAAUGUAGGAGAUUGAUUCACUGCAGUGUAACCCCCCAAGGCCUUUACACAGAGCUCUGACUAAACUUCCUAUAAAAUCAAUCCAGCCUUUUCACCACUUUUGACAGGGUGUUCUAAUAUUAAUCCACUCUCCUUGUCAGUCAGCUCCACUAACAAAGGCUUUAAUGAGCUUUAACCAGGCAUAAACACUAGAUGGAGGAUUCCUGGACCCCUUUGGAAAAUACCAUCCUGGCCACAGGUAAAAGGCAGGCAUCUCUGUUUUAGAAAAAUAAAUGCCAACAGCUGCCAAGCCCGGAGGAGGUGAGGUGUGAGGGUUGAGUGAUGAAUUGAGUCCCCUCUCUCUCAAGAAAUGUGUAUGUAAAGGAGGUAGGUUCUUUCCCUGGCUAAAAAUGACCCAGAUUUAAUGGCCCAGAGGGCUGCCACUUUCUGGAGCCACUGAAGUGAAAGGCAAAGGCUAGCAGGCAAGUCAGCCUGAGGAGCACAGGCACGGUGAUCCAGGCUGACCGUACUCUCUGCCACUGUGGGGAAGUGGCGUUUUGCUGUGUGAAAAGUGUCAGACAGGUGAAUCCUGCGAUUAAGCCAGGCACAAAAUAUCCUGCAUGCCCUUUCUCCUGUCUCAUUUCUGCAGCUUGGCCUCACUCCCCACUAACUCUGCCCCACUGCAGCUGGAAAAGGAGUUGUCCACUGGGGUUUGCUCGCACUGUAAUUAGGAAAGCCCUGAGCUCCCUGCAUGCAGGUCAGGCAGGCUCAGAACACACUGCAGGGGAAGCACAGCGAUGCGAUUCCUCUACAGAGCCACAGGGCCCUUGAGUUACUGUCAGGGAAUCUGACAAGCAAAGGGAGAAAGGGAAGAGACGGAGGGAGCUGGGCUAGGCACUGAGGUGCGUUGGCAGAGCUGUGGGGGUGGGGGCCUCAGACCUGCAAUAGCCAGGGGUGCUGGAGGUCAAAACUGAUUUGCAUUGUGCAGGGGACAGAGAUGCACGAUGGGAGUAACAGGGGCUGUCUUCGGACAGGCUGAGGAACACUGGCACAGCUGGGGGAGGGAAGUUUGCUCACCUUCCACUGGUUAUAGGCUUGACUUGAGCCAGGUACAUUUACAUGGAGCUCCUCUCUAGCCCAAUAUGGGUUCAGGUAACCAGCACAUUUUCAUGUAUCCCAGGUAGUCUGGGUUCCCUAUGGCUCCGAGCUACUGGAGGAGGUAGCGGCUUUUGUUUUAUCUGAGAUCAAGGAUAGCACCCAAGGUCUCCCCCGUCACAGACAUCCCUGCCCCUUCCCCAGCUGUUCUCACUGCAACCUCUGGUGACCAGGGCCUCGCUCCUUGCCUAGUUCUUCCUCUGAGAAGGCUGCAAACAGACCACAGCAGCUGGUGGGGCAGACUCUGCUCUGGAUUCAUUUAUUAAGAAAUAGGCCAUGCCAAGACUGGGUGGCUUAAAGGCUGGUGGUGGGAGAGACAGGGAGCUAAGACCAGGCAAAAUCAACCCUAUUUUCCUGAAUUUGCACCCGGGGCUCACGUGGGGAGCAUAUCUAGGCCUGCAUGCACACAGGAACAGACGCUGCAGCACUGCCCUGGCAGAGUCCAACCAGCUGGCAUCACACUAACAGCUGGGGUUUUACUGCCCUCCUCACAUUCACGCUCAGAUUACUGCUGCAGAAGGAGCUAAUUAAACCACCUCUUCCUGCUUGGCCCAGGAGAUAAGUCCGGCAAGAUGGAAGCUAGGUUCAGCCACCAUGCCUGACUAUUGGAUGGAGGGGAGGGAAGGACAAUGGUCUUACUGCACUCCCCAGUUUGGUUACCUGCACCACCCAGAGCCCCUCUGCUGCCUCAUACCCGGUUGUGUGAGUCACACUGAGCUCCGGAGUGUGCCCACCCCCAGCCAGCACAACUCUCCUUAUUACUCUGCUGGUCACAGGAUUGCUCUCUUGACAUCAUGUGCUCCAUCCACCCGGUUUGUUGUAUCCACUGGUAGCCUCUCACUUUGUACUGCUAAUGUAAGCUGUGUGGGGCAUGGACUGUCUUAAUUGUGUGUGUCUACACAUAUGUACAGCAACAGGGGGUGUUAUUGUUAAUACUACAUCAUAAUUUAAGAGCCAAUGGUCAAAGUCCUCAGCCAUUACUUAGGUC